GACGUAGGGCGCGAGCGUUGUCCGGAUUUAUUGGGCGUAAAGAGCUCGUAGGCGGCUUGUCGCGUCGACUGUGAAAACCCGCGGUCACACGCGGGCCUGCAGUCGAUACGGGCAGGCUAGAGUUCGGUAGGGGAGACUGGAAUUCCUGGUGUAGCGGUGAAAUGCGCAGAUAUCAGGAGGAACACCGAUGGCGAAGGCAGGUCUCUGGGCCGAUACUGACGCUGAGGAGCGAAAGCGUGGGGAGCGAACAGG
rnacentral:rRNA from 1 species